GACGAGGGAUCCUAGCGUUGUUCGGAAUUAUUGGGCGUAAAGCGGGUGUAGGCGGCUCUGUAAGUCAGAUGUGAAAGCCCUGGGCUCAACCUAGGAAGUGCAUUUGAUACUGCGGAGCUUGAGUGUGGGAGAGGCUAGUGGAAUUCCUGGUGUAGUGGUGAAAUACGUAGAUAUCAGGAGGAACAUCGGUGGCGAAGGCGGCUAGCUGGCCCAACACUGACGCUGAGAUCCGAAAGCGUGGGGAUCAAACAGGAUUAGAUACCCUGGUAGUCCACGCUGUAAACGAUGGAUACUUGUUGUUGGAGGUAUUGACCCCUUCAGUGACGAAGCUAACGCGUUAAGUAUCCCGCCUGGGGAGUACGGUCGCAAGAUUA
rnacentral:rRNA from 1 species